CCUACGGGCGGCAGCAGUGGGGGAUAUUGCACAAUGGGGGGAACCCUGAUGCAGCGACGCCGCGUGGGUGAAGGAGCGUUUCGGCGCGUAAAGCCCUAUCGGCAGGGAAGCAGAUGACGGUACCUGGCCAAGAAGCCCCGGCUAACUACGGGCCAGCAGCCGCGGUAAUACGUAGUGGGCAAGCGUUAUCCGGAUUUACUGGGGGUAAAGGGGGCGGAGACGGCAAUGCAAGCCAGGAGUGAAAGCCCGGGGCCCAACCCCGGGACUGCUCUUGGAACUGCAUGGCUGGAGUACAGGAGGGGCAGGCGGAAUGCCUAGUGUAGCGGUGAAAUGCGUAGAUAUUAGGAGGAACACCGGUGGCGAAGGCGGCCUGCUGGACUGUGACUGACGUUGAGGCCCGAAGGCGUGGGGAGCAAACAGGAUUAGAUACCCCUGUAGUC
rnacentral:rRNA from 1 species